AUUUCAAGUUUACAGAUGGAAAAAAGUGAGGUGAUACACGUUCCUAAGGAUACAAUAGAACAAGAAUCUGAAUUCAAGUUUGCAGUCAUCACCAUUAGGCCAUAUCACCUCAAUAGUAAGAAACUUGUCAUGAACGCCUCUCUUUUUCCUCAUUCAUGCAUUCUUCUUCUUCUUCUUCUUCUUUUUUUUUUUUUGGAGAUGAAGUUUUGCUCUGUUGCCCAGGCUGGAGAGCAGGGGCGCAAUCUUGGCUUGCCGCAACCUCCACCUCCCAGGUUCAAGCGAUUCUCCUGUCUCAGCCUCCCGGGUAGUUGGGAUUACAGGCACAUGCCACCACACCCGGCUAAUUUUUGUAUUUUUAGUAGAGACGGGGUUUCACCAUGUUGGCUAGGCUGGUCUCGAACUCGCGACCUCAGGUGAUCCACCUGCCUCGGCCUCCCAAAGUGCUGGGAUUACAGGCGUGAGCCGCUGCACCUGGCCUCAUGCUUUAUUAUUUCAGGCCCCAAGUCAAAAGACUUCCUUGCCUGUGAGUGACGACAGCAGAUCUGGAAUCAGUGGCCCUGGCUUGGAGCAUGGGCUCUCUCAGAUGCCUAGCUGUGUGGUCAUGAGCACGUUAGCCAUGCUGAGUCCAGUCACAUUUUGUAUUAUAAAAUCACUAAACUUUCAAUGUUGUGUUAUGUGUAAAGGAUAAUGUUAUAAGAAUAGGGUACUUUGUAAAUAAAAUGUUCUCCACAGAAAACAGAAUGACGGCUGCAGGGGCUGAGCAGUGGGUGAAUUGGGAAUUUACUGUUUCAUAAGCACAGUUUUAAUUUUGGAAGACAGGAAGUUCUAGAGACAAAUGGUGGUAACAGUUGCAAUGUGUGUGGACUUAAUGCCACUAAACUGCAUACUUAAAAAUUGUUAAAAUGGUAAAUCUCAUGUAGAUUUUAUCACAAUUUUAAAAAUUAAAAAUUAAAUAAAUCUGCACUUAAAAAUUCCUACAUAGAUGUUAGCAGUAUUAACACUACUAUAAUAAUUACUUUCUCUUGGGAUAAAUGGUACAGAGAAAGGAUUAUUUCAGGUGUGCUAUCAAUUCUUAUAUACACAGUCAUGUGUUGCUUAAUGACAAGGAUACAUUCUGAGAAGUGCACUGAUAGGUGAUUUCGUUGCGCGAUCAUCAUAGAGUGUACUUACACAAACUUACUACACACCCGGGAUAUGUGGUAAAGCCUAUUGCUCCUAGGCUACAAACCUAUACAGCGUGUCACUGUACUGAAUAUCGAAGGCAGUUGUAACACAGUGAAUAUUUGUGCAUCUAAUCAUAGAAAACAAGGUAUAGUAAAAAUACAGUCUAUGAGAUAAAAAAUAGCACACCUGUAUGGAGCACUUAUCAUAGGUGGAGACUGCAGGACUGGAAGUUGCUCUGGGUGAGUC
rnacentral:lncRNA from 1 species